AUAUUAAUUGAGGGGCAACUCUCAACUGACACACAAGGUGAGGUUUCGGCCAAAUAUUGUGUGCAGAAAGCCAGAGACAGGUAGCACGAGAACCUCUGGCGGCGGUUCGGCAGUAGUGCUAAAAUGACGAACCAA
rnacentral:sRNA from 10 species